UUACCGGGGCACGCCUGCAACCCCAGGGCUCUGGGAGGCCCAGGUGGUACUCAAGGCCAGCCUGGGCGACGUAGCCACUCCAUCUCUAAUUUUUUUUUUUAAGUUAAGAGAUUGUAUUCUCACUGCUUCCUGCUCCUUGGUCAACCAGUACAAUUUCCCUCUCUGUUUUUCUUUUUCCAAAACGCGGGUCAGCACAGUGAUUGAACCUGUCAUUACUGUCUCCUCUGCUUCCACUCCAGCUAGAAUGCUGCAUCCCUGCACAGCUCCUGGCAGGUAGCAUGGCAAGUCACCUAAUACAAUUGAAAAGACAGAUGAUUUCGACUUGGGAAAAUAACUUGAUGGAAGGUGAAGAAAUGGACAUUGGUCCAGACAUGGACACACCUUUGGUCUGGAGAAAGUGAUGAGGGAAAUGAUCAACAGCCAUUAAGCAGAGAGGACUCUGGAAUUCAGGGAGACAGGACACCGUUAGAAGAACAAGAUCAAAACAGAAAACUGGGUUCUUGCAUCAGUUGGAAAGGUACUGUGUAUUGUGAGGUGCUGGCAUUUUCUAAUAGACAAAUUCCCCAGAAGAAAAGGCAAGCUUGAGAUCAGUUCAAUACGAUCAAGGUAACAACUAAGCGGUAUCAUCUUUAUAAAACCAAUUUUUAAAACUAUUAGUAAUCUUUUCUAUGUGAUGCUUAAGUAGUAGUACUAUAUAAUCAAUGUUGAACUAAUGCAUGCAGAGUGUAAUUUUGUAAUUUUUUUCCUAUAGUUCUGAGAUUUUUUUAUUGGAGAAGGGCCGAUUUUGCUAAGACUGUGCCACUACACUCCAGCAAUAGAGCGAGACAUUGUCUCAAAAAAAAUUAAAUUAAAAACUAUAAGGGAGGAUAUGCAUAGAUUAUAUGCAAACACUAUGCCAUUUUUUUAUCAGGGACUUGAUCACCUACAGAUUUUGGUGUCUGCAGCAUUCCUGCAAUCAAUCCCUGGUGGAUAUUGAAGGACAGCUGUAUUUAUUCCAGACUUUCUAAUCUGUGCUCUUGGUGUCAGUGUGACCUGGAAACAGACAGACUAUUAUUUUUGUGGCUUUAUAAUAUUAUGUUUUAAUACGUAGAUCACAGGUUUCCUCUCAGCUGCUUGGGAGGCUGAAGCAGAAGAAUCACUUUGCUCUGUUUUUCUUUCUUUUUUCCUUUCUUUUGUUUUUCUGGUGACAGGGUCUCACUCUGUUGCCCAGGGUAGAGUGCAGUGGCACAAUCUUAGCUCACUGCAACCUUUGCCUCCUGGGCUUAAGCAGUCCUCCCACCUCAGCCUCCUAAGUAGCUGGAACCUCAGGCGAGUGCCACCCCACCAAGAUAUUUUUUGUAGACAGGGUUUCACCAUGUUGCCCAGGGUAGUCUCAAACUCCUAGACUCAAGCAAUUCACACGCCUCUGCCUCCCAAAGUGCUGGGAUUACAGGUGUCAGCUACUGUGCCCAGCACACUUUGCUUUUUUUUCUCCCCUUUCAGCUUCCCCAAGUAGCUGGGAUUACAGACAUACACCACCACACUCAGCUAAUUUUUGUAUUAGUAAAGAUGGGGUUUCACCAUGUUGGCCAGGCUGGUUGGUCUCAAAUUUCUGACCUCAACUGAUCUACCCGCCUCUGCCUCCCAAAGUGUGGGGAUUACAGGUGCCAACCACUGCACCCAGCCCACUUUGUUCUUUCUCAAAAUUGACUUAGCUAUUUGCAAACUCUUAUUCUUCUGUAGACCUUUUAGAAGCAAGAUGGUAACUUAAUAAAAAAAAGGCCCACCUGGCUCCUGCCUGUAACCCCACCAUGAAGGUGGGUGGAUCACUUGAGGUCAGGAGUUUGAGACCAGCCUGACCAACAGAGUGAAACUACAUGUCUACUAAAUAUGCAAAAUUAGUUGUACAUGGUGGUGCAUACCUGUAAUAACAGCUACUUGGGAGGCUGAGGCAGGAGAAUCACUUAAACCAGGCAAGGCAGAUGAUGUAGUGAGCCAAGAUCGUGCCAUUAUUCUCAUCCUGGGCUACAAGAGCAAAACUGCAUCUCAAAAAAAAAAAAAUCCAGCUGGAAUUUGUAUUGGGAGAUCAGAGAAUUUAUAGAUCUAACUUGGGGAGGUUUGAUUGCCUUAACAUGUUAAUAUCUACAUUUAUUGUAACUCUUUAUCUUUUACUAGAUUUUGGAAAUUUUCUUUUUGAAGAUCUUGAGGGUUCUUUUGUUAAUUUCUACAUCUGUUACAGUUUUUAUUUUUCUGAAUGAUACUUUUGUUUAUUCCUGAUGUAGAGGAAAUAAUACUGGUUUUCUUAUGUGCAGCUUUUUUGUUGAACUCUGAUAUGAAUCAUAAUACUUCUGUUGAUUUCAUUUGGUUUCUUAUAUAGAUGAUUAGUGUCAUCUGCAAAUACUGGUUUUUAUGGGCAAAUAUGGUUUUAAUGUCAUCUGCAAAUGUGGCUUUAUGUCCUCCUGCUAGUUCUUAGGCCUGUGUCUUCUCUGUGAUGUCGUGAUCUAAUCUCUUUUCUGGCCCAACAGCCUAGCCCUCUACUCCAUAGCAGAAGCAACAGCUCAUAGGAGUCGGCUUCCCGGACAACUAGGUCUCAUCCUAAUGGGGGUUAUACUUGAAACUCCUCCGUUAAGUGUGGUGGUGGUUUGGCAUCAGUUUGGGUUGAGCCAGAUGACCGAAGCUGACUGGAACAUCACGUGGUCCAUCAGUACUGGACAGCCCGGCCCUUCCAGUUUCCUCAUAGCUUACAUUUGCAUUCCAGUUUAGCUGCUAUCUGACUUUACCUUGUGGGUUCAGAGAGGAGACUGCUGUUGCUAAGCCCUGCUGAGCAUCAUUUCUGGUGUGGCAGAGUUGACAAGCCACCUGCUUCUUCACUACUCCUGACUCAUCUCUGCAGAGCAGACCCACCUCACUUCUUGGACAUCACUAAAGAAUGUUCUGGUAAGUAAAUUUUUCAGGAUUCAAAGCUUACUGCUCAGAACAGUCAAAUUUAGAAACCUGGAACUAUUUUGCCCAUUAAUCUUUUUGGUUUUUGAGAUGGAGUCUUGCUCUUGUUUCCCAGGCUGGAGUCCAGUGGCACAAUCUCGGCUUACUGCAACCUCCGCUUCCUGGGUUCAAGCAAUUCUCUUGUGCUAGCCUCCUGAGUAGCUGAGAUUACAGGUGCCUGCUACCACACCCAGCUACAUUUUAUGUUUUCAGUAAAGAUAAGAGUUUCAUCCUGUUGGUCAGGCUUGUCUUGAAUUACCGACCUCAGGUGAUCCACCUGCCUCCACCUCCCAAAGUGCUGGGUCCGUGCUGUGGUCAGGUCCAAGACAGGGCCCAGCCAAGUCUAGAGUGAUGGCCAGGGUAGGGUCAAACCUAGGGGAGGGCCAAGGCAAGGGCCAGGCCAGGGUGGUGCCAAGAUGAAGGCAAGGACAGGAAAUGGCCAGGGUAGGGACAGGACAAGGGCAAGGAUAGUGCAGGUUCCUGGCAUGGCCAGGAUCCAGGGACAGGGUGGGACCAGAUCAGAGCCAGCACAGGAGGAGGAUAGGACAUGGCCAAGACAGGGUCAGUUUGGGGCCUGUACAGCCCAGGUAAUGGUAAGGUUGGUCCAGGGCAGAGCACAGCAGGGCCAGGUACAAGACAGAGCAGGUUUAGGGUAGGGCCAGGCUGAAUGCGAAGGCCACACUCAGAGCAGAUUUAUGGCAAGGGCAAGACCACUGAAGGGCCACAGAGAAGGCAGGGCCAUGGAGGAGCCAAGACAAGGACAGGGCCAGAGCCAUAGCAUCACCAGCAACUGGGCUGUGGCUAGUGCAGUGACAGAGCCAGAGUCAGGGACAGAGCAGUGCAAGACCAGGGUAAGGCCAGGCAUUUCAGGGUCAGACAGGAUCAGGACCAGGGAAGAACCAGGGUAAGGCCUCAAGCAGGGCAGGGCCAGGACUAGGAUCUAGGUUAGUGCCAGGGCUGGGCCAUAACAGAGGGGCAAGGCCAAGCAAGGGCCUGAGUAGGGCCAGGGUAAGGUCAAAGCUAGGGCAGGACUAGGAUAGCACAGGGUUAAGGCAGGGCCAGUGAACGGCAAAGACACAGCUUCACCAGGGCAUGGUGAGGUCCAUGGCUUGAACAGAGCAGGGUCAGUGCCAUGCUAUAGCUAGGGAAGGUCCAGGGACAAGGCAUGGCUGCAUCAAGGACAGGACCAGUCCAAGUCCAGGUCCAGGGAAGGUCCAGAGCAAGGAGAGAGCCAGAGCAGAACCGUGAAAAGACAAAGGCAGGUCCAGGGCAGAGUAUGGUAAGGGUAGGACCAGAGCAGAGCAGGACUAAGAUAGCACAGGGCCUGGCCAAAAGCAGGGGAGGUCCAUUGCAUGGGAGGACUAGCAGUAGGGCCAGGGAAAACACUGGGCUCAGGACAUGGCAGGGCCAGGGCAGAGGAGGGCAGUGCAGGGACAGGAUUAUAUCAUGGACAGAGUAGGCCUGGCAUUGUCAUCCCAGGGCAGGGCCAGGGCAAGUCUGAUAAGAAGGCAGGACCAGGACCAAGACAGAGCCAGGGAAGAGCAGGACCAUUGCAGGUUGAGGGCAAGACCAGAGUUUGCAGGGGCAGGGCUAUGGCAGAUCAGGACCAGGUUAAGGGUUGGACCAGGUCCAGGAAUAUCAUAGGGCCAGGGCCAGUUCAGGGCAAGACAGGGAAGUACUAGAAUGAGGCCAUAGGGCAGGGCAAGU